rnacentral:rRNA from 1 species
AUUGAACGCUGGCGGCAGGCUUAACACAUGCAAGUCGAACGAGCGGCGGACGGGUGAGUAAUGUCUGGGAAACUGCCUGAUGGAGGGGGAUAACUACUGGAAACGGUAGCUAAUACCGCAUACCAUCAGAUGUGCCCAGAUGGGAUUAGAUGGUUGGUGGGGUAAUGGCUCACCAAGGCGACGAUCCCUAGCUGGUCUGAGAGGAUUACAGGCCACACUGGAACUGAGACACGGUCCAGACGCCGACGGGAGGCAGCAGUGGUGAAUAUUGCACAAUGGGCGAAAUCCUGAUGCAGACAUGCCGCGUGUGUGAAGAGGGCCUUCGGGUUGUAAAGCACUUUCAGCGAGGAGGCGUUACUCGCAGAAGAAGCACCGGCUAACUCCGUGCCAGCAGCCGCGGUAAUAC